UAAGUACACUUUUCCACAACAAAAUGCAUCAAAUGCUUAACAUUCAAAUGGGAAAUAAUUGGCAAUUCACAGAUCAAGAAACAAGAAAGUGAAGAUGGCUCUCCAGAACUCUUUAGUGUGGCUAUGACAUUACCUUUAAGAUGAAAUGAAUAGAAAUGGAAGCUGAUCAUCCAGAACUUACUAUGUCACUGGGACAUUAGUAUUAAGGUUUGGUCAACUAGUAAGAAUGAAAACUAAUCAUCAUCAAAUACUUAAGAAACAGGCAAAUAUGAGUUAAAGUAAAAAUUGACAGGCAGAAUAUCUUACCAUUUGAUAUUCUAAACAAUAUUAGACAAUAUGCUCUGAAUUCUUUAACAAAAGUAAAUAAUAUAUUAUUCUAGAUAUUAUUUGAUACAAAAACAAACUUAUUUAUUAGU
rnacentral:sRNA from 1 species